GAUUUAUAAAGAAGAAGGGAGAGAACAGGCUCUAAGAACUUCUAGCAACCAGUUACUAAACCAGGUGCUAAUUCCUGCCUAAAAAAUUUAGGGGAUAUAAAUU
rnacentral:ncRNA from 1 species